AUGAACGCUAGCUACAGGCUUAACACAUGCAAGUCGAGGGGCAGCAUGAACUUAGCUUGCUAAGUUUGAUGGCGACCGGCGCACGGGUGAGUAACACGUAUCCAACCUGCCGAUGACUCGGGGAUAGCCUUUCGAAAGAAAGAUUAAUACCCGAUGGCAUAGUUCUUCCGCAUGGUAGAACUAUUAAAGAAUUUCGGUCAUCGAUGGGGAUGCGUUCCAUUAGGUUGUUGGCGGGGUAACGGCCCACCAAGCCUUCGAUGGAUAGGGGUUCUGAGAGGAAGGUCCCCCACAUUGGAACUGAGACACGGUCCAAACUCCUACGGGAGGCAGCAGUGAGGAAUAUUGGUCAAUGGACGAGAGUCUGAACCAGCCAAGUAGCGUGAAGGAUGACUGCCCUAUGGGUUGUAAACUUCUUUUAUACGGGAAUAAAGUGAGGCACGUGUGCCUUUUUGUAUGUACCGUAUGAAUAAGGAUCGGCUAACUCCGUGCCAGCAGCCGCGGUAAUACGGAGGAUCCGAGCGUUAUCCGGAUUUAUUGGGUUUAAAGGGAGCGUAGGCGGACGCUUAAGUCAGUUGUGAAAGUUUGCGGCUCAACCGUAAAAUUGCAGUUGAUACUGGGUGUCUUGAGUACAGUAGAGGCAGGCGGAAUUCGUGGUGUAGCGGUGAAAUGCUUAGAUAUCACGAAGAACUCCGAUUGCGAAGGCAGCUUGCUGGACUGUAACUGACGCUGAUGCUCGAAAGUGUGGGUAUCAAACAGGAUUAGAUACCCUGGUAGUCCACACAGUAAACGAUGAAUACUCGCUGUUUGCGAUAUACAGUAAGCGGCCAAGCGAAAGCGUUAAGUAUUCCACCUGGGGAGUACGCCGGCAACGGUGAAACUCAAAGGAAUUGACGGGGGCCCGCACAAGCGGAGGAACAUGUGGUUUAAUUCGAUGAUACGCGAGGAACCUUACCCGGGCUUGAAUUGCAACUGAAUGAUGUGGAGACAUGUCAGCCGCAAGGCAGUUGUGAAGGUGCUGCAUGGUUGUCGUCAGCUCGUGCCGUGAGGUGUCGGCUUAAGUGCCAUAACGAGCGCAACCCUUAUCGAUAGUUACCAUCAGGUUAUGCUGGGGACUCUGUCGAGACUGCCGUCGUAAGAUGUGAGGAAGGUGGGGAUGACGUCAAAUCAGCACGGCCCUUACGUCCGGGGCUACACACGUGUUACAAUGGGGGGUACAGAAGGCAGCUACACGGCGACGUGAUGCUAAUCCCGAAAGCCUCUCUCAGUUCGGAUUGGAGUCUGCAACCCGACUCCAUGAAGCUGGAUUCGCUAGUAAUCGCGCAUCAGCCACGGCGCGGUGAAUACGUUCCCGGGCCUUGUACACACCGCCCGUCACACCAUGAGAGUCGGGAACACCCGAAGUCCGUAGCCUAACCGAAAGGAGGGCGCGGCCGAAGGUGGGUUCGAUAAUUGGGGUG
rnacentral:rRNA from 1 species